rnacentral:rRNA from 1 species
AGAGUUUGAUCCUGGCUCAGGAUGAACGCUGGCGGCGUGCUUAACACAUGCAAGUCGAACGAACCUUCGGGUUAGUGGCGGACGGGUGAGUAACGCGUGAGAAUCUGCCCUCAGGAGGGGGAUAACAGUUGGAAACGACUGCUAAUACCCCAUAUGCCGAGAGGUGAAAUGAAUUUCGCCUGGGGAUGAGCUCGCGUCUGAUUAGCUUGUUGGUGGGGUAAUAGCCUACCAAGGCUUCGAUCAGUAGCUGGUCUGAGAGGACGAUCAGCCACACUGGGACUGAGACACGGCCCAGACUCCUACGGGAGGCAGCAGUGGGGAAUUUUCCGCAAUGGGCGAAAGCCUGACGGAGCAACGCCGCGUGAGGGAUGGAGGCCUUUGGGCUGUAAACCUCUUUUCUCAAGGAAGAAGAUCUGACGGUACUUGAGGAAUAAGCCACGGCUAAUUCCGUGCCAGCAGCCGCGGUAAUACGGGAGUGGCAAGCGUUAUCCGGAAUUAUUGGGCGUAUAGCGUCCGCAGGCGGCCGUUUAAGUCUGUUGUUAAAUCGUGGAGCUCAACUCCAUCACGGCAAUGGAAACUGUUCGGCUUGAGUAUGGUAGGGGCAGAGGGAAUUUCCGGUGUAGCGGUGAAAUGCGUAGAUAUCGGGAAGAACACCAGUGGCGAAAGCGCUCUGCUGGGCCAUUACUGACGCUCAUGGACGAAAGCCAGGGGAGCGAAAGGGAUUAGAUACCCCUGUAGUCCUGGCCGUAAACGAUGAACACUAGAUGUUGGGGGAAUCGACCCCCUCGGUGUCGUAGCUAACGCGUUAAGUGUUCCGCCUGGGGAGUACGCACGCAAGUGUGAAACUCAAAGGAAUUGACGGGGGCCCGCAUAAGCGGUGGAGUAUGUGGUUUAAUUCGAUGCAACGCGAAGAACCUUACCAAGGCUUGACAUCCUGCGAAUCUCUAAGAAAUUAGAGAGUGCCUUCGGGAACGCAGUGACAGGUGGUGCAUGGCUGUCGUCAGCUCGUGUCGUGAGAUGUUGGGUUAAGUCCCGCAACGAGCGCAACCCACGUUUUUAGUUGCCAGCAUUCAGUUGGGCACUCUAGAAAGACUGCCGGUGACAAACCGGAGGAAGGUGUGGACGACGUCAAGUCAUCAUGCCCCUUACGCCUUGGGCUACACACGUACUACAAUGCUGCGGACAAAGAGUAGCGAUCUUGCGAAAGUUAGCUAAUCUCACAAACCGUGGCUCAGUUCAGAUCGUAGGCUGCAACUCGCCUACGUGAAGGAGGAAUCGCUAGUAAUCGCAGGUCGGCAUACUGCGGUGAAUACGUUCCCGGGCCUUGUACACACCGCCCGUCACACCAUGGAAGUUGGCCAUGCCCGAAGUCGUUACUCUAACCUUUUGGAAGAGGGCGCCGAAGGCAGGGCUAAUGACUGGGGUGAAGUCGUAACAAGGUAACC